rnacentral:rRNA from 1 species
CCUACGGGAGGCAGCAGUGGGGAAUAUUGCACAAUGGGGGAAACCCUGAUGCAGCGACGCCGCGUGAGUGAAGAAGUAUUUCGGUAUGUAAAGCUCUAUCAGCAGGGAAGAAAAUGACGGUACCUGAUUAAGAAGCCCCGGCUAACUACGUGCCAGCAGCCGCGGUAAUACGUAGGGGGCAAGCGUUAUCCGGAUUUACUGGGCGGAAAGGGAGCGUAGACGGUCCUGCAAGCCAGAUGUGAAAGCCCGGGGCUCAACCCCGGGACUGCAUUUGGAACUGUAAGGCUAGAGUGUCGGAGAGGCAGGCGGAAUUCCUAGUGUAGCGGUGAAAUGCGUAGAUAUUAGGAGGAACACCAGUGGCGAAGGCGGCCUGCUGGACGAUGACUGACGUUGAGGCUCGAAAGCGUGGGGAGCAAACAGGAUUAGAUACCCUUGUAGUC